UCGAGAAUCUUCGGCAAUGGGCGCAAGCCUGACCGAGCGACACCGCGUGCGGGAUGAAGGCCUUCGGGUUGUAAACCGCUGUCGUAGGGGAGAAAGGGUCUGCGAAGAGCAGAACCGGAUCGAUCCUAGGAGGAAGGGCCGGCUAAUCUCGUGCCAGCAGCCGCGGUAAUACGAGAGGCCCAAACGUUAUUCGGAUUUACUGGGCUUAAAGAGUUCGUAGGCGGCUUGGAAAGUGGGGUGUGAAAGCCCUCGGCUUAACCGAGGAAUUGCGCUCCAAACUACCGAGCUUGAGUAGGCUAGAGGUGAGCAGAACUGAUGGUGGAGCGGUGAAAUGCGUUGAUAUCAUCAGGAAUACCGGAGGCGAAGGCGGCUCACUGGGACCUAACUGACGCUGAGGAACGAAAGCUAGGGGAGCAAACGGG
rnacentral:rRNA from 1 species